UAGGGAAUAUUGCGCAAUGGACGCAAGUCUGACGCAGCAACGCCGCGUGAGUGAAGAAGGCCUUCGGGUUGUAAAGCUCUGUCUAGUGGGAAGAACAGCCGAUGGGUUCACAGCCCACCGGUCUGACGGUACCACUGGAGGAAGCACCGGCUAACCUCGUGCCAGCAGCCGCGGUAAUACGAGGGGUGCAAGCGUUAAUCGGAAUUACUGGGCGUAAAGCGUGCGCAGGCGGUUUUGUAAGACAGGCGUGAAAUCCCCGGGCUCAACCUGGGAACUGCCUUUGUGACUGCAUGGCUAGAGUACGGUAGAGGGGGAUGGAAUUCCGCGUGUAGCAGUGAAAUUCGUAGAUAUUGGGUGGAACACCAGUGGCGAAGGCGGCCAUCUGGCACAGUACUGACGC
rnacentral:rRNA from 1 species